rnacentral:rRNA from 1 species
GUAGGUGGCAAGCGUUGUCCGGAAUUAUUGGGCGUAAAGCGCGCGCAGGCGGUUCUUUAAGUCUGAUGUGAAAGCCCACGGCUCAACCGUGGAGGGUCAUUGGAAACUGGAGAACUUGAGUACAGAAGAGGAAAGCGGAAUUCCACGUGUAGCGGUGAAAUGCGUAGAGAUGUGGAGGAACACCAGUGGCGAAGGCGGCUUUCUGGUCUGUAACUGACGCUGAGGCGCGAAAGCGUGGGGAGCAAACAGGGAUUAGAUACCCUGGUAGUCCACGCCGUAAACGAUGAGUGCUAAGUGUUAGGGGGUUUCCGCUCCUUAGUGCUGCAGCUAACGUAUUAAGCACUCCGCCUGGGGAUACGGCCGCAAGGCUG